AGUGUCUAGUGACUCAGUGUGACAUUACACUGACAUCAUCAGAGAGAACACCAUUGGAUUUUCAGCUAAAGAUGAAUAUCUUGCAAGUGAAGGCAAUACCAAGCCCUAUUUCACAACUACCUCUUGCCUGGCAAGCUGAUUCACUUUCGGGAGAAGGUUUGAGUGGAGAGUUCUCGAAAAAGCUGGUGUGAUUUAUAAUGCCCUAUUUCUUGGUCCAGCGCUGGAUGGGUGUACGUCCUGUCAAUCAGAACCACAUAGAAGAACUCUUUCCAGCUACACACUGCUUCCAGUUAAGAUGGAUUUGAGUGUUUUGAGAAGACAAAACCGAGCUUUAUUUUAUUAAAGGGUGUCAAAAGAAACUACGGCCACACGAAAGCCAGCUGCCACACUGCGCACAGCUUUAUGAAGAGGCUCAUGUGGUGAAGAUUCUUACUGCCAAUUCUGUGAGUCAUCACGGAUGUGAAUCUCUAGCUCAUUCAAGCUCUCUGAUGAUGGGAACCUAAGCCAACAUCGUGAUUACAACCUCAUGGCAAGUUCUGGGCCAGAAACAUUUAGCUCCUGGAUACUUUACUCUUAGAAAUGUGCAAAACAAUAUAUAUUUCUUUCAAGUUGCUAAAUCUGAGCAAAAUAUGUCACAUAACAUAAAUUAAUAAUAGAAUUGGCACUUAUAUAAAAUAAAUUUUAAGUCACUGUACCAAAAAUGGCAUUCCUUCUCCUUCAUGUUCUUUUUUGACCAGACACUCUUCCAUUCAUACACAUAGCCAUUCUUCC